ACUCUAUUAUAUAUGUCACAGUAGAGAUUGAAAUCCAGUAGAAUCGUUGAUUCUCCUAGUAGAGAUCAUGAAUCAUGAUCCCAUUAUCUCCUCGGACAAAUUACAAUUUUACUGAGGGAGACAGUAGCAUUGAAUAUUUGAAGAAAUUACGUGUUUUCGAAAAUAUGACACAAAGUCAUACCCCUAUGGUACUGUGACCGGUAAUUUCAUUCCCUGUCUUUUCAUUACCCCUUUGAAGAGGGAUAUUUAGUGACGUAAUACGGUUUAUGUUUCUAUAAUAGUUAGUAGGUUUUGUACAGGACUGUAGAGGGAGGACUUGUCAAUGGAGAUGAGUGAUAAAUUAUGAUUAGGGAUGUUUGGGAGACGGAUACGAAUGAUUUAUGGUGUUUAUGAAUUAUAAAUGACGUCGUGGUAAAUCUUUAAUACGUCUAUUACUACUCGCUCCUACUCCUUUUAAUCCAUCGACAAUCAUCAUAAUUCAUAGGUUCAUUGCUGGGUAUCGUAUUAGUUUCUAGAAUAUUUAAUUCUAGGAGACAUGGAAUACUACUGCUAUAGUCCGUUGCGAAGAAUAAUUGAUAUUCAUAUGCAGUCAAUUUCUUCAUCAAGAGGUCAUGGAUGUGAUUGUACUAGAGUUAUAGAACUAGAUCAAGAUGUGGACCUCGUCCAUCAAAGUCUGCAUGCAUUUCUGAAUAUGAUAUAUACUAUUAAAUACAUCUAAAUAUUCUAUUAACUUAUCACAAUCAUACUUAUUAUAUCACUUGUGCUUCCCUCACUGUGCCUCGGGGGAAACAACUCUAUUCUUUGUAGCAAUUAAUUAACCAUCUUCAUAUUACUGGGAGGAUUUUGGAUCCUAACGAUUGGAAGUAAAUUGGGUAUUGUACAUCGUUAAUUAUGAAAUUAUAAGAAACUUCCUUCUGAAAGAUCAAAUAGAUUAUAUUAAUUCUUGUUUUUGUAAAUAUAAAAGAUAAAAAUAUACUUAAAGUCAAGAUUUUA
rnacentral:lncRNA from 1 species